CAUCCACCUGGUCACGGGGAGAACGUCCAAACUCCACACAGAACCCGAGGUGAGGAUUAAACCCAUGUUACUGGG